AGCUUGUGCUUUUUAAAAUGUAUUUUUGUUGUAUUGAAGACAUCUUUGCUUCAUAAUAUGUCAUUAGGAUUUUCGCCUAUGUUUUCCGUGGAAGUUUUAUAAUUUUUUUACCUCCUGCCUUUAGGCAUAUAUGAUCCAUUUCAUGUUAAUUCUUGUAUAUGAUGUGAGGUAAGGGUUGAAGGAUUUUUUUUCUUGUGCAUAUGGAAAUUCAUUUCUUCCAACACUUUUUACUGAAAAGAUUGUCCCUUUCCCACUAAGUUGCCUUGGCACUCUGGAUGAAAACAAAAUUGACCAUCUAUGUAUGGGUUGAUUUCUGGGCUCUAUUCUGUUCCAUUGAUCUCUGUGUCUAUCUUCAUGGCAAUAUCACACUGUCUUGAUUACUGUGGCUUUUUAAUAAGUCUUGUCAUCAGACAGUGUAUAGCCUCCAACUCUGUUGUUCUUUUUCGAAGUCGCUUCGGGUAGUCUAGGCCCCUUGCAUUUCCACAGAAGUUUUGGAGUCAGCUUUCCGGUUCCAACUUGCCUUCCUGCGUGAUGGGGGUCAAGUGUUUUCUGCUUUACCUGAGCAUCUCAAGAAGGUGAUGCCAGCAAUUAGGAUUUGCAGUAUGAGGAAGACUGUGGAACACUUACUUGAAUGGGCUAGAAGACUUCCUGGAAUGUUAAGUACAGCAAAAGGACUUCAUAUGACUGCAUCCAAGAAAGCUUUGCCUCGUAGCCUGGAGCUAACGAGCAUAGAAUCCAACCCUACCAUCCAUUCCAGGACACAAAAUGGGACAAGGAUGAGAGGUGGAGGUGUGUAAAGGACAACAUUUAAUAGCCAGUAAAUGGC